rnacentral:rRNA from 1 species
CGCGGCCUAUCAGCUUGUUGGUGGGGUGAUGGCCUACCAAGGCGACGACGGGUAGCCGGCCUGAGAGGGUGUCCGGCCACACUGGGACUGAGAUACGGCCCAGACUCCUACGGGAGGCAGCAGUGGGGAAUAUUGCACAAUGGGCGCAAGCCUGAUGCAGCGACGCCGCGUGGGGGAUGACGGCCUUCGGGUUGUAAACCCCUUUCAGCACAGACGAAGCGCAAGUGACGGUAUGUGCAGAAGAAGCACCGGCCAACUACGUGCCAGCAGCCGCGGUAAUACGUAGGGUGCGAGCGUUGUCCGGAAUUACUGGGCGUAAAGAGCUCGUAGGUGGUUUGUCGCGUUGUUCGUGAAAACUCACAGCUUAACUGUGGGCGUGCGGGCGAUACGGGCAGACUGGAGUACUGCAGGGGAGACUGGAAUUCCUGGUGUAGCGGUGGAAUGCGCAGAUAUCAGGAGGAACACCGGUGGCGAAGGCGGGUCUCUGGGCAGUAACUGACGCUGAGGAGCGAAAGCGUGGGGAGCGAACAGGAUUAGAUACCCUGGUAGUCCACGCCGUAAACGGUGGGUACUAGGUGUGGGUUUCCUUCCUUGGGAUCCGUGCCGUAGCUAACGCAUUAAGUACCCCGCCUGGGGAGUACGG